AGCGAACGCUGGCGGCAGGCCUAAUACAUGCAAGUCGAACGGCUCUUCGGAGCAGUGGCGCACGGGUGAGUAACGCGUGGAUAUCUGCCUUUUGGUUCGGAAUAACUCCGGGAAACUGGAGCUAAUACCGGAUGGUUCCUACGGGAUAAAGAUUUAUCGCCAAAAGAUGAGUCCGCGUACGAUUAGCUAGUUGGUGGGGUAAUGGCCCACCAAGGCGACGAUCGUUAGCUGGUCUGAGAGGACGAUCAGCCACACUGGGACUGAGACACGGCCCAGACUCCUACGGGAGGCAGCAGUGGGGAAUAUUGGACAAUGGGGGCAACCCUGAACCAGCCAUGCCGCGUGAGUGAUGAAGGCCUUCGGGUUGUAAAGCUCUUUUGGCGGGGACGAUGAUGACGGUACCCGCAGAAUAAGCCCCGGCUAACUUCGUGCCAGCCGCCGCGGUAAUAC
rnacentral:rRNA from 1 species